rnacentral:rRNA from 1 species
AAGUCUCCUGAAGGAAGGUUGAAGACGACGACGUUGAUAGGCCGGGUGUGUAAGCGCAGCGAUGCGUUGAGCUAACCGGUACUAAUGAACCGUGAGGCUUAACCUUACAACGCCGAAG